AUGAACGCUGGCGGCGUGCCUAAUACAUGCCAGUCGAGCGAACAGAUGAGGAGCUUGCUCCUCUGACGUUAGCGGCGGACGGGUGAGUAACACGUGGAUAACCUACCUAUAAGACUGGGAUAACUUCGGGAAACCGGAGCUAAUACCGGAUAAUAUAUUGAACCGCAUGGUUCAAUAGUGAAAGACGGUUUUGCUGUCACUUAUAGAUGGAUCCGCGCCGCAUUAGCUAGUUGGUAAGGUAACGGCUUACCUAGGCAACGAUGCGUAGCCGACCUGAGAGGGUGAUCGGCCACACUGGAACUGAGACACGGUCCAGACUCCUACGGGAGGCAGCAGUAGGGAAUCUUCCGCAAUGGGCGAAAGCCUGACGGAGCAACGCCGCGUGAGUGAUGAAGGUCUUCGGAUCGUAAAACUCUGUUAUUAGGGAAGAACAAAUGUGUAAGUAACUAUGCACGUCUUGACGGUACCUAAUCAGAAAGCCACGGCUAACUACGUG
rnacentral:rRNA from 1 species